AGAGUUUGAUCCUGGCUCAGGAUGAACGCUGGCGGCGUGCCUAAUACAUGCAAGUCGAGCGAACGGACGAGAAGCUUGCUUCUCUGAUGUUAGCGGCGGACGGGUGAGUAACACGUGGAUAACCUACCUAUAAGACUGGGAUAACUUCGGGAAACCGGAGCUAAUACCGGAUAAUAUUUUGAACCGCAUGGUUCAAAAGUGAAAGACGGUCUUGCUGUCACUUAUAGAUGGAUCCGCGCUGCAUUAGCUAGUUGGUAAGGUAACGGCUUACCAAGGCAACGAUGCAUAGCCGACCUGAGAGGGUGAUCGGCCACACUGGAACUGAGACACGGUCCAGACUCCUACGGGAGGCAGCAGUAGGGAAUCUUCCGCAAUGGGCGAAAGCCUGACGGAGCAACGCCGCGUGAGUGAUGAAGGUCUUCGGAUCGUAAAACUCUGUUAUUAGGGAAGAACAUAUGUGUAAGUAACUGUGCACAUCUUGACGGUACCUAAUCAGAAAGCCACGGCUAACUACGUGCCAGCAGCCGCGGUAAUACGUAGGUGGCAAGCGUUAUCCGGAAUUAUUGGGCGUAAAGCGCGCGUAGGCGGUUUUUUAAGUCUGAUGUGAAAGCCCACGGCUCAACCGUGGAGGGUCAUUGGAAACUGGAAAACUUGAGUGCAGAAGAGGAAAGUGGAAUUCCAUGUGUAGCGGUGAAAUGCGCAGAGAUAUGGAGGAACACCAGUGGCGAAGGCGACUUUCUGGUCUGUAACUGACGCUGAUGUGCGAAAGCGUGGGGAUCAAACAGGAUUAGAUACCCUGGUAGUCCACGCCGUAAACGAUGAGUGCUAAGUGUUAGGGGGGUUUCCGCCCCUUAGUGCUGCAGCUAACGCAUUAAGCACUCCGCCUGGGGAGUACGACCGCAAGGUUGAAACUCAAAGGAAUUGACGGGGACCCGCACAAGCGGUGGAGCAUGUGGUUUAAUUCGAAGCAACGCGAAGAACCUUACCAAAUCUUGACAUCCUUUGACAACUCUAGAGAUAGAGCUUUCCCCUUCGGGGGACAAAGUGACAGGUGGUGCAUGGUUGUCGUCAGCUCGUGUCGUGAGAUGUUGGGUUAAGUCCCGCAACGAGCGCAACCCUUAAGCUUAGUUGCCAUCAUUAAGUUGGGCACUCUAAGUUGACUGCCGGUGACAAACCGGAGGAAGGUGGGGAUGACGUCAAAUCAUCAUGCCCCUUAUGAUUUGGGCUACACACGUGCUACAAUGGACAAUACAAAGGGCAGCGAAACCGCGAGGUCAAGCAAAUCCCAUAAAGUUGUUCUCAGUUCGGAUUGUAGUCUGCAACUCGACUACAUGAAGCUGGAAUCGCUAGUAAUCGUAGAUCAGCAUGCUACGGUGAAUACGUUCCCGGGUCUUGUACACACCGCCCGUCACACCACGAGAGUUUGUAACACCCGAAGCCGGUGGAGUAACCUUUUAGGAGCUAGCCGUCGAAGGUGGGACAAAUGAUUGGGGUGAAGUCGUAACAAGGUAGCCGUAUCGGAAGGUGCGGCUGGAUCACCU
rnacentral:rRNA from 1 species